rnacentral:tRNA from 1 species
GCCGAGGUGGCGGAAUUGGUAGACGCGCUAGUUUCAGGUACUAGUGGGGGAAACCCCGUGGAGGUUCAAGUCCUCUCCUCGGCACCA